AUUGAACGCUGGCGGCAUGCUUUACACAUGCAAGUCGAACGGCAGCGCGGGCUUCGGCCUGGCGGCGAGUGGCGAACGGGUGAGUAAUGCAUCGGAACGUGCCCAGCAGUGGGGGAUAGCCCGGCGAAAGCCGGAUUAAUACCGCAUACGACCUGAGGGUGAAAGCGGGGGACCGAAAGGCCUCGCGCUAUUGGAGCGGCCCAUGUCGGAUUAGCUAGUUGGUGGGGUAAAGGCUUACCAAGGCGACGAUCCGUAGCUGGUCUGAGAGGACGACCAGCCACACUGGGACUGAGACACGGCCCAGACUCCUACGGGAGGCAGCAGUGGGGAAUUUUGGACAAUGGGGGAAACCCUGAUCCAGCCAUGCCGCGUGCGGGAAGAAGGCCUUCGGGUUGUAAAACGCUGUUGUUCGGGAAGAAAUACUCUGGGCUAAUACCCCGGGGGGAUGACGGUACCGGAAGAAUAAGCACCGGCUAACUACGUG
rnacentral:rRNA from 1 species